ACAUAAGAAAAUGAAAUAAUUUUUCAGGUUACAUUUUCCCAAACAAACAUCUGUGAGACACGUGAGUGUGCAACAUGUGGCCGAAAAGGACGUGGUGUGGUACGAAUGCCGCCAGUGCCCAUAUAAAGCUAAACGGGUGUCUUAUUUAAAAAAUCACGUACGAAUACGACAUCUGGACGACCACGAUGUUAAAUGGUAUGGAUGCGACCAGUGCCCGUAUAAAGCUAAAGAAAAAGCGUAUUUGAAAAAGCACAUAAACGCUCAUCACUUCAACAAAAAAUAAAACUAUUUUUUUAACGAU